rnacentral:lncRNA from 10 species
GCGCACCAACAGUGUUAUCGGCAGGCUGCCUGACUUGGAAAAGGAGGAAGGUCGUUCCUACACAUUUUCGUUCCUUGUUGGUUUUCACUACAAAGGACCUCACACACCCCCAUAGUGCCCGUGGGCUGGCGUGUCCCCAGGAUAAAUAAAACCUGCAUUUUUCUUAUUAAUCAUCAAUAUGAAAACACAUGACCUCUCUUUCUAUUGUUCUGUGCCUGGUUCACGCCCUGUAUAAUUUUAUAUGGUUCCUACAGCCCUGACAUGCCCUGAGCAACAAUCGACAUUGAUUCACUGACUUAUAAAAGUGUAUUAUCUGUUCUCUGUGUCUACGUAGAGUUCUCUGAGAGUUGCCCAGGCAGUGACUCAGGACUCCAGAGAGAGGUGCACAGAGCGGUCACACACCAGGGAGGGAGCGAUUUGCAACUCAGAAUACUUCUUAGCAGAAAGCACAUUUGGGCUUGAUCUGCUCCUUGAUUUCUGUGGGAGUGACUUCGUGACAGUUUCAAGCUGAAUCCUACAUUUGCUUCUUAAGUCAACUGAAAUUCCAUUCGAGUUAGAUCCAUUCUGUGUCCACUUUAAAAGCCAAGCUGUUUAGUGGGGGAUUGUUAUGACACAGCAAGCUUGACAAAAAAUACACCUGGUCUUAGAAGCAAUCUUUGCAUAGCUCUGAAUGCACAGAAGAAAAUCGUGCUUGGGUAAAGGCAAGGAUUUCACUAGGCAUAACUCACCAUGAGGCAUAGAUCCUUGAGCAAAAGUCCAGCAGUAUGUAUGUAUGCAUGCUGAGCAUGAUGCUACCAGCUUAGCAGCAAAUGUUGGUGAAGGAAAAUAAAACAAUGCAUGUGUCCAACAUUAAAAGUUUCUAAGUUUAAAAGUACAACAAAAUUCUGCUAAAUUUCUAACGGACGCUAAUGUUUACAACUUCUCUUUGAGUCAGAAGGUUUUAGUUAUUACUAAAACAUGCUUCCUCAAUUCCAAGCCUCUUCAUUUUAAUGUAUUUGUAACUAGGCAAUUACACAGUCUGGAGAGAUCCUUCGUGCUCACUAAAUAUCCAUGCUCUUUCUUCCAUUUCCCAGCCUUCUUUGCAGUUUUCCUGGACUCAUGAAAUAAGAACAAAGGCAUUGUGCAUCGCCUUCAGGUUGAGGCAGCUAAAAGCUAGUAAGCCUCCUUCAUUUCCCUCUUCCCCUGACAGUGGGGGACCUGUGCUCUAGAGGGCAUCCCCGCAUAAGGAGAGUGGCGGCCCGGCCCACAUUCAACUGUGACCUGAGAAAGGAAUGAACCGUGAUGAUGUGAAAGAAUGCUGUGGCCUUUGUGUGUUACCACAGCAUAGCUUGUCCUAUCCUGUCUAAUACACACAUUUAAGGUAAAGAGGAUUUUCCCCUGCAAAGCUAAUAUUACAUCUAUGACAAAUGUUAUCAUUAUUGUCAUAGAAUCCAAAAAAUACAAAUUCUAUUUAUUUAACUUCAGUGGUAAAUGAGAAACUUUCGAGAAGCAGUAAUUGUAUCUAGAGAAGCUAUUCUCAGUUGAAGGUAGGGGCAGCUUCCAGACAAUCCCUAGAGAGCACUCCCAAACCCCUAUACCUUCCCCACCCUAAUCCUCUUACCCUCCAGAUUUGGAGACAACUUUUUCUUCUACAUACUUUUGAUAACCACAAAUUAGAGAGAGAGAGAGCAAGAUUCCAGGAGCAUCCACCAGUUGAGCCGUGAACAAUGCAGGGUUUAGGGGUGGUGACCCCUGCAAGUCAAAACCCCACAUACAAUUUUUGACUCCCCAAAAACUUGACUCUAACAGCUACUGUUGACCAGAAGCCUUACUGAGAGCGUAAACCAUCGACUAACACGUUAUGUAUGCUGUAUGUAUUACAUACUGUAUUCUUACAAUAAAAUAAGCUAGAGAAAAGAAAAUGUUAUUAAGAAAAUUGUGUGGAGGAGGAGGAAAAGAAGGAGUUGGCCUUGCUGUCUCAGGGGUACCAGAUAUGGAAGAGAAUGCGCAUAUAAGUGGACCUGCACAGUUUAAACCUGUG